rfam:Schistosoma rodhaini strain Burundi genome assembly, scaffold: SROB_scaffold0002291
UUACUGCUGAGGAGUCCCAAAAUAGGACGGAACGGCCUUCCAGUGC